GACGAACGCUGGCGGCGUGCUUAACACAUGCAAGUCGAGCGGUAAGGCCCUUUCGGGGGUACACGAGCGGCGAACGGGUGAGUAACACGUGGGUGACCUGCCCUCAGCUCUGGGAUAAGCCUGGGAAACUGGGUCUAAUACUGGAUAUGACUCCACGGUGCAUGUCGUGGGGUGGAAAGCCUUGUGCGGCUGAGGAUGGGCCCGCGGCCUAUCAGCUUGUUGGUGGGGUGANGGCCUACCAAGGCGACGACGGGUAGCCGGCCUGAGAGGGCGACCGGCCACACUGGGACUGAGACACGGCCCAGACUCCUACGGGAGGCAGCAGUGGGGAAUCUUGCGCAAGUGGGCGAAAGCCUGACGCAGC
rnacentral:rRNA from 1 species